UGCGUAGGGUGCGAGCGUUAAUCGGAAUUACUGGGCGUAAAGCGUGCGCAGGCGGUUUUGUAAGCCAGAUGUGAAAUCCCCGGGCUUAACCUGGGAAUGGCAUUUGGGACUGCAAGGCUUGAGUGCGGCAGAGGAGACUGGAAUUCCUGGUGUAGCAGUGAAAUGCGUAGAUAUCAGGAGGAAUACCGAUGGCGAAGGCAGGUCUCUGGGCUGACACUGACGCUGAACUGCGAAAGCUAGGGGAGCGAACGGG
rnacentral:rRNA from 1 species